CACCACAACGGGUGGAGCCUGCGGUUUAUUGGAUUCAACGCCGGAAGCUUACCGGGGCGACAGCAAUAUGAAGGGUCAGGCUGAAGACCUUACCGGAUUCGCUGAGAGGUGGUGCAUGGCCGUCGUCAGUUCGUACUGUGAAGCAUCCUGUUAAGUCAGGCAACGAGCGAGACCCACGCCCACAGUUGCCAGCGUACUCUCCGGAGUGACGGGUACACUGUGGGACCGCCGCUGCUAAAGCGGAGGAAGGAAUGGGCAACGGUAGGUCAGUAUGCCCCGAAUAUCCCGGGCUACACGCGAGCUACAAUGGUUGGUACAAUGGGUAUCUACCCCGAAAGGGGACGGGAAUCUCCUAAAACCAAUCUUAGUUCGGAUUGAGGGCUGCAACUCGCCCUCAUGAAGCUGGAAUCCGUAGUAAUCGCGUUUCAACAGAACGCGGUGAAUACGUCCCUGCUCCUU
rnacentral:rRNA from 1 species